AUACGUAGGGGGCGAGCGUUGUCCGGAAUGACUGGGCGUAAAGGGCGUGUAGGCGGCUGUCUAAGUCUGGAGUGAAGGUCCUGCUUUCAAGGUGGGAAUUGCUUUGGAGACUGGAUGGCUUGAGUGCGGAAGAGGUAAGUGGAAUUCCCAGUGUAGCGGUGAAAUGCGUAGAGAUUGGGAGGAACACCAGUGGCGAAGGCGACUUACUGGGCCGUAACUGACGCUGAGGCGCGAAAGCGUGGGGAGCGAACAGGAUUAGAUACCCUGGUAGUCCACGCGGUAAACGAUGAAUGCUAGGUGUUGCGGGUAUCGACCCCUGCAGUGCCGGAGUCAACACAAUAAGCAUUCCGCCUGGGGAGUACGGCCGCAAGGUUGAAACUCAAAUGAAUUGACGGGG
rnacentral:rRNA from 1 species